GGGGCUCGGUGAGGGCUCUGGGUCCACCUCCCACCCGUGUUUAUUUACCUUGUUGCUUCGGCGGGCCCGCCUUAACUGGCCGCCGGGGGGCUUACGCCCCCGGGCCCGCGCCCGCCGAAGACACCCUCGAACUCUGUCUGAAGAUUGUAGUCUGAGUGAAAAUAUAAAUUAUUUAAAACUUUCAACAACGGAUCUCUUGGUUCCGGCAUCGAUGAAGAACGCAGCGAAAUGCGAUACGUAAUGUGAAUUGCAAAUUCAGUGAAUCAUCGAGUCUUUGAACGCACAUUGCGCCCCCUGGUAUUCCGGGGGGCAUGCCUGUCCGAGCGUCAUUGCUGCCCUCAAGCCCGGCUUGUGUGUUGGGCCCCGUCCUCCGAUUCCGGGGGACGGGCCCGAAAGGCAGCGGCGGCACCGCGUCCGGUCCUCGAGCGUAUGGGGCUUUGUCACCCGCUCUGUAGGCCCGGCCGGCGCUUGCCGAUCAACCCAAAUUUUUAUCCAGGUUGACCUCGGAUCAGGUAGGGAUACCCGCUGAACUUAAGCAUAUCAU
rnacentral:rRNA from 1 species